rnacentral:lncRNA from 1 species
AAAAUAAUGAAUACAUGGACUUGAAAUGUUUGAAUUUUGAGAAAAGACACCUAAAAGGAGCAUCUACAAACGGACCAAAUGAAUUUCCUUCAUCCCUAAUUCCCUAUGGAGAAGAAAAUUAUUAUUAGUAUGGAAGAAAAUCCCAAUGUCAAUGGUAGAUAAAUAGAAAAGUGAAAACCAAAAUUGCAGAUUUUCCUAGUAGUGAAUGAAAUCUAAAAGUAUCACCCCAUAGUAAGAACUCAACAAUUGAGCUAUUUCAUAAAACCGGGUAACCUAGCACCGACACUUCAGAUUGAAAGUAUGCCAGGUGACACCCAGAUAAAUGAACUAAAAGUAUCACCCCAUGGUAAGAACUCAACAACUAAGCUAUUUCAUAAAAAGGGUACCCUAAAAGAACCCUAUAACCUAUGUAGCACCGACACUUCAGAUUAAAAGUAUGUCAGGUGACACCCAGAUACUGUUUACAUUCAAUCACUCUCAUUUUCUAAAAUUAUUAGGCAAAAUUACACUUAGUCUCUUAACUUAAUUUCAGGUAUCGAUUUGGUCAUUUAUCUUUUUAUUUAUUUCAUUUUUACCCUUUUGGUCCAUUUGCAUAUGAAUUUUCAAGCUUUAAAUGUAAAAUUGCAACAAUUCAGUUGUCAUUCUUUCUCUAAGUACACAUACACACAUAAUUAAUUAUCUUACUUAUCAAACAAGAAGCUCAAUCAGAAUGGUUCAAUGAAAAUCAACAGAAUCAUAAUUGGUAUAUCAAACUCAAACAAUCGAAAUUAGGAAUUAGAAUAGAA